AUCUCAUAUCUCUGUUCUCUCUCAUCUCUCUCAACGCCACUCUCUUCUCUCUCAUCUCUCUCAACGCCUCUCUCAUGUUACCACCACCGUGUCUUCUCCUCGUCUCACCACCACCGUGUCUCCUCCUCGUCUCACCACCACCGUUUUCCCCCUUGUCUCUCUCAAUUACAUAAAUCACACUCUUAACCAUUGGAUUAACUUAGAUGUAAAGUUAAUUUCAGGGAUCCGAGCUUGAUGAUGAAAGAAAGACUUAGAUGGGGAGAUCCAAUGGCUCAUUUGGUCAACGUAUUGUUUAUACAUCUGCUUACUCUAUAAACCCAUCACUAACCGAGACCGCCUUUCUAUAGAAACAAAUGACCCCAAGAGCUCACAUCGACGGGAAGGUUUGGCACCUCCAUGUCGGCUCUUCGCCACCUUGGAGCACGAGACACCUCUUAUGGAUCUAGGGGCCGACGAUAAGAUGAAAGUCUGGAUUUUCAUACCACAAAGUAUCCCCAAGCACAACUGGUUAACAAGAGGAUUAGAAGCUACACCUAGUCCGUAUGGAAUCAAACCCGGUAGACAUUAUUGGGAUGGAGUUGACUGCAGUAAGUAAUACAGGACAUGAGAAGGAUAGGUUUAAGAAGACGAGGGAGAAAAAAACAACAAAAGAGAAGCUUACCUUUAUAAAAUAAGUUAAUGUUUGACUGUGUGUCUUUUGUUUGGAUUCCACGUUCUGAAAACAAGGUUGCUGAUGCUCUGGCAAAGUAUGCCUUGAUGCUCUGGCAAAGUAUGCCUUGUCGAACGCAUCCUUGGGCUGUUUAUGAUAUGUAAUCAGAAUUUGUUGGGCUAAAUGUGGUUUGGUUCAGGAAAUAACCUCUCUAAACUGAUGAACUAUGGGUUUGAUAUGUUAAGACAA